UACGGAGGGGGCAAGCGUUGUUCGGAAUUAUUGGGCGUAAAGGGCUCGUAGGCGGUUUGUCGCGUCGGGAGUGAAAACCUCGGGCUUAACUCGGGGCUUGCUUUCGAUACGGGCAGACUAGAGGUAUGCAGGGGAGAACGGAAUUCCUGGUGUAGCGGUGAAAUGCGCAGAUAUCAGGAGGAACACCGGUGGCGAAGGCGGUUCUCUGGGCAUGAUCUGACGCUGAGGAGCGAAAGUGUGGGGAGCGAACAGG
rnacentral:rRNA from 1 species